UGGACAUGGAAGCAAGAUCCACUGGUGUAGAUCAAUGCUAAUGCUGUAAAACUCUUUAGCUGUCCCUCAGGAAACAAAAGCUCCAGGACGGCUUCCAGCAGAGCUACGGUGUGACCCAGAGGAUCAGCGCUAAAGCCUUUGAGUGGCUUGCUAAUUCCCCGCCAAAGACCUCAUCAGCUGUCAUCCAGGCUGGAAUGGAGUCGGGAGUGAGGCGGGCAAAGCUUGUCCCAUCUGGCGGGAAAAGAAAACAGUAGGUAACACAGGCAGCGAUGGAGAGCAGGCAGACCAGGAGCACCAUGCAGGCGGCGACAACUACGUUCCUGCGCUUCUCCUCCUCCGCCUGCUGGAGCUCCCACCAUUCCAAGUCGGUGAACUGACAGCGCUCACCCACGUAGCCUGGCACGCAGCUGAAACAGGUCAAUGACCUAUUACUUCACCAUAUAUUUCUGAGCAAGCGGAUGCACUACCACAACAGACGCGGGUUGGACCAGGUUGCCAAGGAGACGUUGCAGUUUCCUCCCGGUCCGCUUGUGUAUGCUCAUCAGCUGACGGUUCUUCUUGUCCACCAACCACAGCCUGUCCUCAAACACGGCCAAGUCAAACGGCCGGCCUGGGAAAUAACAAAAGUCAGUGACGUGAGCAGGAUCCGUCGGUCGGAACCGUCGAGAGCGCAGGUCUCCACUCUGGUCCCGUCGCACCAGAAAAGACGACCCUCAGCGAAGUCGACCGUCAGACCACCAGGCGACACCAGGAGAGCGUAUCCCUUAGGGCAUGUGCAGAAAUAAGACCCUGGGAUGUUUUCACAUCCGAGAGAGCAGCCGUGGUUCCAGUGGGAGCAUUCAUUCACAUCUAAGGAGGAUAUCCAAGGCAUGAUCAUGGACGGACGGACAAGUCAGCAUGUCUAAAAGGUAGGGUGACAUCUUAACUGAUUUUUAAAAUAA